CGGGAGAGGAGAGGCGAGGUCCUGGCCUUUUCCGUCAGGCUUCCAGCGGGCAGCCCCGGCCCGGGGUCCUCGCGGGGAGCUUUAAAUACCGAGGCCCCAGCACAGACCGCGCCACGUGGAGCAGAGCGGGGCUGGUUGGGGCCACGUGCGGCUGCUCAGCAGUGACCCUGCCAUGGACGAGUGGUGGGGUGCCCAGGCGGGGCUGCCGUCCCUGGGGAGACCCCCGCCCACACACACACCGUGAUCUGACCUGGGGGAGGCUGGAGGAAUGGAGCUGCGAUACUGCCCUGCAGAGACCCAUGCUCACUGGAGUGCAGUGAGCCCCCUGGCUGGUGCUGUGCAGUGACCAUGGGGUGGUGCUGGUGGUGUGGGGGUAAAAAUUCCCCAAGACUGUGACCUGCCCCACACUUCUGCAAGGACCUCCCUGGAGCCCCCCAGACUGGUGCCAAGACCCUGCAUGUGCUGAGGAGCCAGGAUUCUUGGGUUCUGUUCCCAGUGCGCCCCCCUCCCCCGCCGCCGCCUUGAGGCCUGCUGAUCGGGGGUGUGGGGUUCACAUACUCUCCCUGCUGAUCCCCCAGCAGCUCCUGUCCUGCCAAUAAAGUCGUGUUGGUCUGAAUGGA